CUACUGCAGUGCUAUCAAUAUAUUGUCCGGCCACUGCACACAGGUUCGCUGCGUGCGGACGGUAGGUCUUCUUCCAUCUUCUUGGGCUGCCUGAUUGCUUCGUGGUUUUGUAUUCUUCUUCUAUCAUUCGAGCAUACCUUGAAAAACAGCACUUCGAUGUAUGGUUGUUUAGGCUCCUCCGCGCGCCCUGAUCUAGAGUGGAGACGCAGAUCGAUCACCUCGAGGCUGCGUCAGGCUUCCGUACAGUGUAUGUUCUCGCCAGAUGAUCUCGACUGACAGCAACUUCAUGAUUCGACGGUAAAAAAUCAAUCUCAGAACAACAUUCAUGUGUUACUACCUAUGUGCGUGAACAUCAACUUGUCAUUAUGGACUGCCUUAGAAACAUGUGUCUGUGUGCGCCUAGUGUCACAUCCUUGUCUACUUGUAAUUUAUUAGAGUUGGUUACGCAGGCAUGCAUCAUGCUUAAAUAUCUUUAAUCUUCAAUUGAGAGAAUUAGCAAAGCCUUAAAAUUUGUUUAAUAGGGUUCAAACCCAAUUUUUUUUGGAGUUUUAAGACGAUUUAUUUUGGGCCUUGGAUUAAGUCAAUAAUGUAUUUGGUUUGAAUUUAUAUUCUUUAUAAAAUAAAUAUAAAUCUAGAAAUUCUGAAAUAUGGUGUGUAACUUUGGACACAUCCAUAUUAACUACUGCACAUAUCAGAAUUUCUAGACUUCUCCAUAUGGAGUACACACAACUUUUUUAGAAGGGUAAAAAUGAUUUGACGUUCAAAUCAAAUCAAACAGAUUGAAAAAAUUUAGAAAAAAAAACAAAGAAAGGAUGGCUAAGAGAGAGAAGACUCCCCCCAGCCGUCCUAGCACUGCGCGGCCCAGCUGCCAGUCGUCUUCAUAAAAAGAGCAACUGCCAUGUUCAAUUUUGCAUUUCAGAACAACUACUAUGUUUUGACUAAGUUUCGAUGAAGUUUUAAAUUUACCCUAGUUUUUAUAUGCAUGAAUGCAAUGCACAAACGGAAAAAGUAUUCCACUCUCUCUCUAGAUAAGGUCCCGCGCGAAGCAGUUGUCACGAUCCUAGUUUAGCAUUGCACUUGGGCUAGUCUUGCAUGUGCAUCAUGUUUAAAUUUUCCUCUAAAUAUGAAAUGGGGAUCCAACAAACCCUAUCACCACUUUGAAAUACUAGGAUCAACUAAAAAUAUUUUCAAUGAACCCAAAAUGCCCUUCAUAAUAGUUCAUCAUUUUUGAAAAGGGUAAAAACCUCUGCCAAAAAUGAUGCACAUUUUUCUAGGUCAUUUCUGGAUUUUUAAAUUAAGCCAUAAAGUAGUAGAAUCGGGGUAUUUAAUUACUAUAAAUAUUUUAAAUGCUCUAAUAAUUCUAGGGCUUUUGAAUAAUCCAAAUAGUGCCCACAAAUAUUUUCAGCAGUUUUGGAAAUGAUUUAAUAUUUUUACUAAGUAAAAAAACAGAAAAAGAAAAUUAGAAAAUAGAAAGAAAUAAAAGAGAGAGAGGAAGUUACCUGGGCCACUUGAGCCGGCCUAGCCCAGCUGGCCGUGCCAGUCGUCGUCUCCACCGCGCCAGAAGGAUGCAGGCACGCCCUCACGCUCGGCGCGCCACGCCACCAGCCUGCAUGCGUCCCCCAAGCCAGCGCGACGACGUGAAGGAUCUCCCCGCUAUCGUCCUGAUCGAGUCGACCGCCCAUUUGCCUGUCUUGCUCUCUUCUGAUCCUGAUUGCAUGUAGAAUUACCAAGAUAAACUGGCCGAAUUGAGUAUAUGAAUGCUUUAGCUAUAUAUAAAGAAAUUGACUGUGGAAGGAAACGUAAGAAUCUUUUUACUUCUCUUUUCGUGUCAUUCUAUCUAAGACACCCUCUUAUUUUCUAGGGGAUUAAGAAUUAGGCUUUUCAUCUAUCUAAUUGGAUCACGUGUUACUAAUCCAUAGACUUAUAUAAAUGGUUGAUUCGAGUCUCAAUUCAGUUUCAAGUACUUUUGGUGUAUUAAACAAUUGGUAUCGAAACCUUGAUAUUAUGAUGUUGAGUGGUUAUGCUAGUAUCUUUGCAUGAUGUUUCAAAAUCUUUUUUGAUCAUUUUCAGCCGUUAUGCUGCCCGAUUUGUUUUAGAAAUUCUAAUGCCUUUGCAGUAUCCUCUAUUUCAGAUGGCUUCUCGCUCUCCUCAUCAGGUUGUCCCGCCUGACCAGGUGCAUUGAUGUACCAGGUCAUACGUCUAUGCUGGUUUCUGCUAUGCUUGAGACCGGUUAUCGCUGGUACCCUAAGUACACUAUGGAGGUGCAAUACCGGGACAUUAACCAGAGUCGGUAUGUUUUCACUGUCAGGAUUUAUCCUUCGUACCCUGAAGCCACAGAGCAUAUUCACUAGUCUUAUGGACUGGGGGUCAAUAUAUAUACUAGAGGAUCAGGCGCGCUUUGCCGGGCCAGGUGAAGAGCUUCGUUUGUGUCACAACCCUAGUUAGUGUUGCAUUAGAGUGAUGCAUCAUGUCUAAAUUUUUCCCAGAAACCUGAAAUGGGGAUGAACUAACCCCCCAGCACCACCUAAACCAACUAGGGUUACUAAAUAAUUUUCUCAAUGAACCUGAAAUGCCCUUCAAAAAUGUCCAUCAAUUUUGUCUUGCUUUGGAACCUUUGCCAAAAUUGGUUCACAUUUUUCUAGGACACCUAAGGUUACUGAAUUAAAUCAUAUGCUAUUUGUAAUUGGGCAUUUAAAUGCUAUAUAUUAUUAUCUUAAGUGCUCAAUUAAUUCUGAACUUAAGUGAGGGCUGUUAGGAAUAAACCUAAUAGAGCCCACAAUUAUUUUCAGGAUAUUUGAAAACGUUUUAGUAUUUUUAAUAAAGCCAAAAACAUUGCAGAAAGUAGAAAACUGGAAUAAAUAGAAGAGAGAGAGAGAAAAGGCCAGAGGCCACUUACCUGGCUGGCCCAGCCCAUCUGGCCCGUGCCAGUCAUCACGUACCUCUGCUAGUAGGUAGAGUAGGGACACCGCGAUGCCGCCGAGCUCGCCACGCCACCUCCCUGCCUGCCCUCGCCCGCGCCGGCGCGACGCCUCGAAACGCCUCCUCGGCGCCGCCCCGAGCCCCUGGACACCUCACUUUCCCCCAGCUCUCCCCCUUGCCUCUCCUCGCCAUGGCCGAAGCUGCCGCGCUCGCGCCGACGUGAAACCUGUAGCCACCGUCGCCCCCUCGUCGCCUCGCCGUGUCCAAGAUCUUCCCCGUCGUCCGUCUCAUCGAGCAGGCCGAGCCCAAAGCCCUUGCAUGCCUUGCAUCGCCUCCACCGACCCUGUCUUCACCGCCCGUCGCCAGAGAUCCACUUCGCCGCCCUGCUUGCUCCGGCUUGUCCCCGACUCCGCUGACCCGUUCGUCUGACUCGCCGUGAGCUUCUGCCUCUCCUCCCCCUUUCCAUUAUCGCUGCCGCACGCCGUAGCCGCCGCGUUGCUAUCACCCGCACGCGCCGCCGCCUGCUCUCGUCGCCGACGUGCCCCCAGCCAUCUAAUGGACCGGCCGUAGUGCCCAACCUGCUCGCCGUGCUGUGUAGAGCCUGUAGGUGCCACGCCGGCGCCGCUACGACCACUGCAACCGCGUUGCUGCGCGCACCCGAAUGCCGGCCGCCGCCUCGAGCUCGUUUCCGACGAGCUUCGGCCGCCCUAGCUGCUGCUGCUUGCUGCAACGGGCGCGGGUGAGCUCCAGCUCCCCGUAGCCGCUCUCCGCUGGCCAUUCGGUCGCCGGAGCAGCGAGCCCGAGCCCUCCGCCGCGUCUGCUGCCGGCGGCGGCUAAACGCCAGUGGUUAGCCCCGGUUUAACCAGGGGUUUGACCUUCCCUAGGUCAAUGACAGGUAGGGCCCAGCCCCGCUAAUUAACCUAGGUUAGGGUUAACUAAAUUUAGUUAGUUUAAUUAACCACUGACACGCGGGACCCACUGGUCAGUUUGACUUGGACCGGCCCCGUUGACUGGUGACGUCCCAGUGAUGCAAUGCUGACGCAGUAACUCAUUUUCUGGAUUUAUUCUUAUUCAGGAAAUUCCAAAAAAUAGUGCUAACUUCUAAAAAUCAUAGAAAAUAAUCUGUAGCUCCAAAAUGCAAAGUGUUAUAUAUGAAAAAUGACUAGAAAAAUCCAAUCUAUCCAUCUGUACUGGUUUCAUGCAUGUUUAAACAAGUUAACUUGCUGUUUAGUGCAAAACAUGAUAAAACACUACUUUAAGAUCACAAAUGAGUUUGAACUUUGAAUCUUUGGUUCAAAAUGGCUCAAACCCAUCUGGUUGUAGAUGCAUUAGUCCAACACACUCAUUUUGCCAUGUCACAUGCAUGCAUCAUAUUGUUGCAUAUUGUUUGAUAUUGAUUGUGUUGCCGGUGCUCUCUGCGGUAGGUUCUGUCCCGGAGGAUUACCGUGAGUACCCAAGCGAAGGACAAUACCAGUCUGCCGAUCUGCCAGGCAAGCAACCCCAUUGAUCAUAUCGAUACAAUCCCAUGUUCUCGGUCCUGCUCUCAUUUACUGCAUUUAAGACAACAACGUUUCAAACUGUUGUGUGCUGCGGUAGUUGAACCCAUUUCCUCUGCAUGACCUGUCAUUGCCAUAGCAAUUGGAUGAAACCCACUAGCAUGUGUAGGAGUUGAUUGAGCCAUGUCUGUGUUUCCUACCUUGCUAGGCCUGCUAUGCUUCGAGUUGUGUCAGGUCUGGUUCAUCUGGGCGAUGGGCUAGAGUGAAAUGAUUAUGUCUGUAAUGUGAGUGAUGUGUUGAACACGAUUUGGUAAAGGUAUCGAUGAGAGGCCACGUAGGAGUACAUGGUGGGUUGUUUCAUCGGAACCGUCCUUAAGCACCGAGAUCUGUAUGUGUGAUUUAAGAACCAGCUACUACCAUGCAUUGGGCCCGAAACCAAUGGACCCUCUCGGCUUCUUAACCACCCUAGUCCUCUGUCCAGGAGUUGCAACUAGUUUCUAGUGUUUAUAGGAUAUGUGUUGGAGGCCGUGCGUAGCGCUGACCCUAUGGGUGGGCUAUGAUGCGACAGAUACACCGUGGCCGGGUAUGCCGGGCGCCCGUUUGGUGUCUCGAAACCCUGUACACAUCGUUCGGGGCCGUAUGUGGAAACCUCGGCCGGACUCCCUGCGGAUGGAACCUGGAUAGACGAUAAACCUGGACUAGACACUUGAGUGUUUAGGUAGGCCGUGGCCGACACCCUCGUUGGGCUUCUGCUUGAAGGUUGCCGAGUACAUGUCGUGUAAACGGUGGUAAGUGGUGAGAGCGUGUGUGAAGAAGUACAUCCCUGCAGGGUUAACAUCAGCUAUUCGAAUAGCCGCGUCCGCGGUAAAGGACUACUUGGUUGCCUAUACAGUUCAUAGAGACAAGUAAAUGGAUACUCCUAAAAGCCUCAAGACAAGUGUGAGUGCCUUGGAUGGCCCUUUCGUAGGAUGACGGAGGAGGAUCCGCGGUAGUGUAUUGUUGUGGUGAGUAGUGGACUCGUGUGCGCAAAACAUUUACAAGUUGCUGUCUCGCAGGAUAGUUUAGCCAGGAGUCAAAGCUGGCUUGCUGCAAUAAACUCCACUACCCUUUGUUGACAAUGUGCAUGUAUGUAGGAUCUGAUGUAAGUCUUGUUGAGUACCUUUGUACUCAUGUUUUCUUAGUUACUGUUGCAGAAGAGAACACCGCCCCCUCCGAUGGGUUCUAUGUAGAUCUCGACGUUGACGAGUGACUUGCCACCCAGGUGGUGAUCCUGAGUCGUGAAGGGCCUUGUAGAUAGACAGGCUUCGUCAAGCCUUCUUUCUUUCUAGUUGUCUGUACCCAGGCAAGUUUGCUUCCGCAUGUCCUUUUCUGUUUGUAUGACUUGAGUGUUGGGUCGUGUGACCCCUACCUGUAUUAACAUAUUAUGUAUGGCUCUCUGGAGCCUUCUAAAUAAAGUACUUGAGUUGUAGAGUUUUGUUGUGAUGCCAUGUUGUAUUUGCACAUAUCGAGUGUCGGAGUAAUUGGACACGGGUAUCCCGAAGACGGCGAGACAAUAUUUCAAGACAUCGGGGCUAGCAAAGCCCCUCAGUCCGACUGCCCGGCCGCUCCUGCCGGCUCCCCGUCCGACUGCUCCACCCGGCCGGCUGCCAGCUGACCGACUGCAUCGACUAGCCGGCUGCCGACUGAAGUCCGACCCGGCAUCGACAAGACACCGACGAGACGGUCGUACCCGAGCACUAUUCACCUGUCAUUCCCGCCAUCAUGUAUAGUGUCACUUGUCCCCUGGCACUAUUCAUGAAGUGACCUAGGGGACAAGCAUGACAUGCACCAUGCCUUGCUCCCAUACCUCCACAUAGCUUAGAUACAAAGCUACCCUCUCCUAUAAAAGGAGACACACCUCCAUCCAUCCAGGGAUGGACUCACGUACACACUCACACAAGCAAGCUAGCUAGCAAGAGAGCUAGCUAGCCAUCCAUCCAUUCCCACGGGCUAGCUUGCCCAAGCACACAUACGGCCAUGCUCAUGGCCGGCCACUAGAGCAUGCUUUGUGCAUGCAUAUAUGGGGCCAGAUGCCCAUGGCACUGCCCCAGAUACAGCUCUAGGAGCACUUUGUACUGCCCGAUGUACACCCCAGAUAUAUAUGCUCAGACAUGCAGGAGUAGGGGUAUUAUCUCUCCGGAGAGCCCCGAACCUGGGUAAACUAGCGCGUGCUACUCGCAUACCCGCUCCCGGUCCUAUCAGCAGCAGUCUUACCCUCACAUAAAGCCCUUGUGGCAUCUGUCGACUCACACCCCCCGUGAGAAUACCACGACAGUUGGCGCCCACCGUGGGUCGGUACUAUCUAUGCUACCACGGUGCUGCUGGUUUUGCAGUCCGGGCGGGACCAUCUUCGCC
rnacentral:lncRNA from 1 species